rnacentral:tRNA from 1 species
GGGCCCAUAGCUCAACGGCAGAGCUACCGGCUCAUAACCGGCAGGUUCCAGGUUCGAAUCCUGGUGGGCCCACCA